UUUAAAGUGGCGCUGUCACCUUAAACUUACCUUUCUCCUAUUAUUUUCUCCCUACUUUGUCUUACAUUUUAAAGAUAAAUAUAUCAGAAAAAAAGAUCAGAUUCAGAAAGAGGAAGAGAAGGGGAAACAAUCGGAGAAAGGUAAGUAUGAGGUGACAGAGCCACGUUAAU